GCAUCGACCUGGUAUUGCAGUACUUCCA
rnacentral:piRNA from 2 species